CAAACUGCCCUCCCAGAUCUGGGUGUGACUUGGUUGGUUGCCCAGAGGCGCCUUGGAAAUGGACUUCCCCUUCCGUCACAACCAGAGGACUCUGGCCCAUUUCUUAUCUUAAGAUGGCACUUAAAUGUGACAACUGUCUUGGCACCCUGAUG
rnacentral:lncRNA from 12 species